CUGGUGUUUUCGGACAGAGCUCUCUGUGAUAGUAAUCUGCCAUGCUCUAGGAGUUGACUCAAUCCAAUAUGAGGUCUUGAAACUGGGGGGCCAGAGUUGCUAUCAAGGAGGCAUAGGGAUGGAGUAGGUGAAAUUCCUGAAACCGAAAUCAUGACAAAUGGUCAGCUGCUACGUUCUGAAUACCCGGUACGUGUGUGCAAUACAAAAAGAACUGAUGAGUUGAC